rnacentral:rRNA from 1 species
CGAGAAAGCCCGCAAGGGUGAGUAAAGCGGCGCACGGGUGCGUAACACGUGGGUAAUCUGCCCUGGAGCCCGGAAUAACUUCCCGAAAGGGAUGCUAAUGCCGGAUGAGACCACGGGAGCUCCGGCUCCUGAGGGAAAAGGUGGCCUCUGUACACAAGCUAUCACUCCAGGAUGAGCCCGCGGCCCAUCAGCUCGUUGGCGGGGUAAUGGCCCACCAAGGCUACGACGGGUAGCUGGUCUGAGAGGACGAUCAGCCACACUGGAACUGAGACACGGUCCAGACUCCUACGGGAGGCAGCAGUGGGGAAUCUUGCGCAAUGGGCGAAAGCCUGACGCAGCAACGCCGCGUGUGUGAUGAAGGUCUUCGGAUCGUAAAGCACUGUCGCGAGGGACG